GACGAACGCUGGCGGCGUGCUUAACACAUGCAAGUCGAACGGAAAGGCACUGCUUUUGUGGGGUGCUCGAGUGGCGAACGGGUGAGUAACACGUGAGUAACCUGCCCUUGACUUUGGGGUAACUUCAGGAAACUGGGGCUAAUACCGGAUAGGAGAUCCUGCUGCAUGGUGGGGGUUGGAAAGUUUCGGCGGUUGGGGAUGGACUCGCGGCUUAUCAGCUUGUUGGUGGGGUAGUGGCUUACCAAGGCUUUGACCGGUAGCCGGCCUGAGAGGGUGACCGGCCACAAUGGUACUGAGAUACGGCCCAGACGCCUACGGGAGGCAGCAGUGGGGAAUAUUGCACAAUGGGCGGAAGCCUGAUGCAGCAACGCCGCGGUCGGGAUGACGGCCUGCGGGUUGUAAACCGCUUUCGCCUGUGACGAAGCGGGAGUGACGGUAAUGGGUAAAGAAGCACCGGCUAACUACGUG
rnacentral:rRNA from 1 species